rnacentral:rRNA from 1 species
CACACCGCCCGUCACACCAUGGGAGUUGACUUUACCCGAAGGCGGUGCGCUAACCAGCAAUGGAGGCAGCCGACCACGGUAGGGUCAGCGACUGGGGUG